rnacentral:rRNA from 1 species
AUGGAAGGGGAGGCACCUCCAGUGGCGCUGGUGGGCAGGGUACUGCACCGUAAGUUCAUCCAUGUUAAUUCUAUUGCAGAUGCCCUCCGACCAGCCUGGGGCAACCCGAGGGGAUUGAGUUUUAACCCGGUAGGGGAGAACACCUUUGUUGCAAACCUGGAAAAUCAAAGGGAUCGAGAUCGCAUCUAUGGAGGCGGGCCGUGGAUGGUGGGGAAACACGCAGUAGUCUUGGAGCUAUUUGAUUUCAGGGCCCGGCCAUCUGAUUGGAAGUUUGAGAAGCUGCAGAUUUGGGCGAGGGUAAUCAAUCUGCCCUUUAACCUCCGAUAUCCGCCAUGGCCUGAGCGCAUUGCAGGGAUGUUGGGAGAACUAAUCAAGUUGGAUGUGGACGCAAAGGGUUUUGCCUUUGGUGAGUGCCUGAGAGCUCGAAUUUGGAUAAGAGUGCAGGAGCCCCUAAUGAGGUGGGUGCGGCUAGAAUCGGCUAGGACAAAGGAAUCUGUAUUGUAUGAUAUCCAGUACGAGGGACUGCCGUAUUUUUGCUUCUCGUGUGGACGGCUUGGACAUGCCGAUGCCUUUUGCCCGGACCCAGGGGAGAGGGAUGAGGAGGGAUGCCUACCGUAUGGGGAGAAACUUAGGUGGGCUGGAUCUCGCAAGAACUGGGCGAAUGCACCCCCAAUGAGCAGCAACGGGGGUAAGCAGGGCGCCAGGAGAGCGGAGGAGUGGGAUGGUGAAGAAGAAGAUGAAGUAGAGAAGGGAGAAGAGGUAACUUCACCAUUGAAAAACAAGCAAGGAAUGGUCAGAAACGCAGUGUAUCAGUUUAAUGCCCGGGGAGGCAAUGGGAGCCGUACUGGGCCUGGAAGAGGCUAUGACAGAGGAGAGAGAGAAACCGUGAGAGGGUGUACCGUCGAGUGGAGAUGGGGACUGAGGGCCGCACCACCACAUCAAACCAGUUGA